rnacentral:rRNA from 1 species
CCUACGGGGGGCAGCAGUGGGGAAUAUUGGACAAUGGGGGGAACCCUGAUCCAGCCAUGCCGCGUGUGUGAAGAAGGCCCUCGGGUUGUAAAGCACUUUCAGUGAGGAAGAACGCCUGGUGGUUAAUACCCAUCAGGAAAGACAUCACUCACAGAAGAAGCACCGGCUAACUCCGUGCCAGCAGCCGCGGUAAUACGGAGGGUGCGAGCGUUAAUCGGAAUUACUGGGCGUAAAGCGCGCGUAGGUGGCUUGAUAAGCCGGUUGUGAAAGCCCCGGGCUCAACCUGGGAACGGCAUCCGGAACUGUCCAGCUAGAGUGCAGGAGAGGAAGGUAGAAUUCCCGGUGUAGCGGUGAAAUGCGUAGAGAUCGGGAGGAAUACCAGUGGCGAAGGCGGCCUUCUGGACUGACACUGACACUGAGGUGCGAAAGCGUGGGUAGCAAACAGGAUUAGAUACCCUAGUAGUC